rnacentral:rRNA from 1 species
GAUCAUGGCUCAGAUGAACGCUAGCUACAGGCUUAACACAUGCAAGUCGAGGGGCAUCAGGGUGUAGCAAUACACCGCUGGCGACCGGCGCACGGGUGAGUAACACGUAUCCAACCUGCCCUUUACUCGGGGAUAGCCUUUCGAAAGAAAGAUUAAUACCCGAUGGCAUAACAUGACCUCCUGGUUUUGUUAUUAAAGAAUUUCGGUAGAGGAUGGGGAUGCGUCCCAUUAGGCAGUUGGCGGGGUAACGG